rnacentral:rRNA from 1 species
CAGUAGCCGCGGUAAUACAGAGGGUGCGAGCGUUAAUCGGAUUUACUGGGCGUAAAGCGUGCGUAGGCGGCUUCUUAAGUCGGAUGUGAAAUCCCUGGGCUUAACUUAGGAAUUGCAUUCGAUACUGGGAAGCUAGAGUAUGGGAGAGGAUGGUAGAAUUCCAGGUGUAGCGGUGAAAUGCGUAGAGAUCUGGAGGAAUACCGAUGGCGAAGGCAGCCAUCUGGCCUAAUACUGACGCUGAGGUACGAAAGCAUGGGGAGCAAACAGGAUUAGAGACCCGCGUAGUCCCUGUCUCUUAUAC